GACGAACGCUGGCGGCGUGCUUAACACAUGCAAGUCGAACGGAAAGGCCCUGCUUUUGUGGGGUGCUCGAGUGGCGAACGGGUGAGUAACACGUGAGUAACCUGCCCUUGACUUUGGGAUAACUUCAGGAAACUGGGGCUAAUACCGGAUAGGAGCUCCUGCUGCAUGGUGGUGGUUGGUAAGUUUCGGCGGUUGGGGAUGGACUCGCGGCUUAUCAGCUUGUUGGUGGGGUAGUUGCUUACCAAGGCUUUGACGGGUAGCCGGCCUGAGAGGGUGAACGGCCACAUUGGGACUGAGAUACGGCGCAGAAUGCUACGGGAGGCAGCAGUGGGGAAUAUUGCACAAUGGGGGGAAGCCUGAUGCAGAAACGCCGCGUGCGGGAUGACGGCCUUCGGGUUGUAAACCGCUUUCGACUGUGACGAAGCGUGAGUGACGGUAAUGGGUAAAGAAGCACCGGCUAACUACGUG
rnacentral:rRNA from 1 species